GGGGGGAGGGUUGGGAUCCCGCUAACAUGUUUAACCCCGCCACAUUAUUUCUGUAUGUGCCUGUCCCAAGUCAGGAGCAUGCAAUUCAGUGGUUGUCGUUUGUUUAUGUGUUACAUAUUUGUUUUUCGUUCAUUUUUUUACAUAAAUAAGGCCAUUAGUUUUCUCGUUUGAAUUGUUUUACAUUGUCUUAUCGGGGCCUUUUAUAGCUCACUAUGCGGUAUCGGCUUUGCUUAUUGUUGAAGGCCGUACGGUGACCUAUAGUUGUUAAUGUCUGUGUCAUUUUGGUUUUUUGUGGUUAGUUGUCUCAUUGGCAAUCAUACCACAU
rnacentral:lncRNA from 1 species